rnacentral:misc_RNA from 1 species
UGUCUCAGCGUUGUGAUUAACGUCAAACUGUUAGAAUGCCCUAUGAUAAAAAAAUAAUAAAUUUAUAUAAUGAAUGUACCAAGUAAUUUUGUUUUUUGGGUGUAAAAUUUUUAUUGAAAAACAUAUAAUUUGGAAUGAGAUGGAAGUAAAACAAGAAUUUAGUGACGACACCUGCAAAAUCGAAAUAUAUUGUAAUAAGGUAGAUGAUGCUCUUUUAGAUGGCUUGAAAAGUGAAAUUAAAGAGAAUCCUAGUGGAGAAACUACUCAUAAUCCAUGUAAUUAUGUAGAUUUACAGGAAUUCUCCUUAAAAACUUCCAUAGAAGAUGAAAAUCAACUGAUGUUAUUGGAAGAAAAACAAUCAAAUAUAGACUUUCCUGAAGAUGCGGAUGCUAUGGAAGUUAUGAAAUCAAUAGAUGAAGAUUUGUCUAAUAAAGAACAGCCUGUCAGUCAACCUCCAGAAGAAAAAACAUUGAAAUGUGCAAUUUGUGAUAAACAGUUCCUUAAAAAAUUAUAUUUAAAUCGUCAUAUGAAAACUCACACUGGGAAAAAACCUUUCAAGUGUGAAAUUUGCUUUAAGCAGUUUGGGCAAAAAACUUAUUUGAAAACACAUAUGACAGUGCAUACUGGAGAAAAGCCGUACCAGUGUGAAAUUUGUUUUAAGCAAUUUAUUCAAGCAGGAAAUUUGAAAAUACAUUUGAGGGUGCAUACCGGAGAAAAGCCGUAUAAGUGUGAAAUUUGUUUUAAGGAAUUUAGCCAAGCAAAUAGUUUCCAAACACAUUUGAGGGUGCAUAGUGGGGAAAAAGCUUACAAGUGUGAACUUUGUUCUAAGCAAUUUACUACAGCACAACAUUUAAAAUAUCAUAUAAGAACGCACACUGGAGAAAAACCAUACCAGUGUGAAAUUUGUUUUAAGCACUUUCUUAAUAGGUCAAAAUUGAAGAAUCAUUUGAGGGUGCACACUGGAGAAACGUCUUACAAGUGUGAAAUUUGUUUGAAGACGUUGACUACAGCAAGAACCUUGAAAAGUCAUAUGAUUUUGCACACUGGAGAAAAACCGUACCAGUGUGAAAUUUGUUUUAAGCAAUUUGUUAAAAGGUCAACAUUGAAGAAUCAUGUGAGACUUCACACUGGAGAAAAACUUUGCCAGUGUGAAAUUUGUUUCAAAUCGUUUACUCAAGCAUCCGAUUUGAAAACACAUAUGAACGUGCACAUUGAAGAAAAACCAUAUAAGUGUGAAAUUUGUUUUAAGAAGUUUACGCAAGCGAGUAAUUUGAAUAGACAUAUGAAAGUGCUCACCGAAGAUAAACCAUACGAGUGUGAAAUUUGUUGUAAGCAAUUUCGUGAAAAAGGAACUUUGAAAUUUCAUUUGAGAUUGCACACUGGAGAAACGCCUUACAAGUGUGACAUUUGUUUUAAGCAGUUUACUCAAGCAAGUCAUUUGAAACCACAUAUGAGGGUGCACACUGGAGAAAUGCCUUAUAAGUGUGAAAUUUGUUUCAAGCAGUUCACUUAUAAAAGCUCUUUGGAUGUUCAUACAAAAGUUCACACAGGAGAAAAACCUUAUAGGUGUGAAAUUUGUUUUAAGCAGUUUUCUCAGAAAGGGCAUUUUGAGAUACAUUUGACAAUUCAUAAAAGAUAAAACCUUCUAAGUACCGUGUCCACAUUUUAGGCGUGGGUUUUUUUCCUGGAAUCCGUCUGUUGUGAACCGGUCGUACUGUAGCCACUUCGCUUAUUGUACCAUUGUCUUCCAUUCCUUUAUGAAACCCAUUCCAGAAUUCUGGAUCCCUGUACCAGCUUAUACAGGUCCAGAUGGGUGGGUACCAUAUAUAUUUGGAGUCAUUUUGAUGU